rnacentral:rRNA from 1 species
AUGCUCCCGUGUGCUGCCCCGACGACGGGCCGUCACCCGAUUCAACAGGAGCGUCGCUCCUCCGCAUGCAGUCCCCAAACGCCGUUCUUGCAGUCUGUCGCUACCCUCUGUAUCAAGCAAUCCGCUGAGCUGGAGCUGAAGAUCAACGGCCGCCCUGUGCAGUUCAGAAAAUACUUGUUUUUGCUGCUCUUUUUGAAGCUCGUUUUGAUAUUUAUUUGCAGCUCGUUGAAUUUCAUUUUGCAGUUCACUAUCAGAUCCAUGGCGCUGGCCGUGCUUUCUCCUGCUGCUCUGUGUGAGGUGAGGACGGGUUCUGCCGCGCCGGGAACCAGGGUGUGGCGCGACACCGGCUAA